rnacentral:lncRNA from 1 species
AAUCCAUGACUUGUUGCAUGCAAUGAAGCGAGAGAGGCAAGCUUCUGAACUUUUUGAGACUUGGUGACUUGAGUGGUUGUAGACUUGGUCACAUGUGAAGUCUGUGAAGCUUGUGCAAAGUUUGUAGGGGUGUUAACCUGCUUGGUCACACUCUUGCUGCCAUUACCCUUUUCUCCAACAACAUUUUUAGUGCCCUUUUCCAAAGGAGUAGUGCAUGUUCUCUUAUUAUGGCCAUGUUUUCCACACCUCCUACAACAGACUGAGUUUUGACCAACCUUUCUCAACUUGGUGGGGUUUU